AAGUCGUAACAAGGUUUCCGUAGGUGAACCUGCGGAAGGAUCAUUACAUUCAGUAGCCUAGCUACUUGUUUAUACCCUUGUUUUUUGCGUACCUAUUGUUUCCUCGGCGGGCUUGCCUGCCGGUUGGACAACACUAUAACCUUUUUUAAAUCUUCAAUCAGCGUCUGAAUUAUACAUAAUAAUUACAACUUUCAACAACGGAUCUCUUGGUUCUG
rnacentral:misc_RNA from 1 species